AUAGAGACUCAGAGCUGCAUAUCAAUAAGCGGAGGAAAAGAAACUAACUAGGAUUCCCUCAGUAACGGCGAGUGAAGCGGGAAGAGCUCAAAUUUGAAAUCUUCAAGGUUUUACCUUGACGAAUUGUAGUUUAAAGAAGUGUUUUCUGUUAGUGGAGUUGGUAAAAGUUCUUUGGAAUAGGACAUCAUAGAGGGUGAGAAUCCCGUAUUUGAUCAUUAUCUCCUAGCGUUGUGAUACACUUUCAAAGAGUCGGAUUGUUUGGGAAUGCAGUCCAAAAUGGGUGGUAAAUUUCAUCUAAAGCUAAAUACUGGCGAGAGACCGAUAGCGAACAAGUACCGUGAGGGACAGAUGAAAAGAACUUUGAAAAGAGAGUUAAACAGUACGUGAAAUUGUCAAAAGGGAAGCGUUUGACACCAGUGUUGUUUUUCCGAAAAUCAAUUACGAAUGGCUUGAUUUUGUGUUGUAUUGACCUUAUCAGCUUUCUGCACUUUUUUCGAGUCUUUCUUAAUGCACUUUUUGGUUAACAAGUCAACAUCAAUUUCUUUUGUUGUAAAAGAGUAUUCGGAAGGUGGCUUUCUUUUCGGAGAAAGUGUUUAUAGCCCUAUGGCCUUCUGCAAUCGGAGAGAUUGAGGUCUGCAGCGUAGAUCCUUCGGGGUUAGAUACACUUUGUGCUAAGUUAUAGCCUUUCAUAGACAACUUGUUGACUAUGAUUAGUCAUGUCGGCUUACUCGCUCGUGCUAUUUUACCUACGCUUAGGAUGUUGACGAUCAGCUGAGCGCG
rnacentral:rRNA from 1 species